GCGUUUAUUAUACCAGAAUUAAAUGUUAUGUUAAACAAGAGAGUAAAUGAUAAAUUGUCAGUGUUUACAGGAGAAAUGUUGGCCAUUCUCUUAGCACUUGAGUGGGUAGAAAAUGGUAAAACAAGGAAAGUGUUGAUUGGAUCAGAUUCAAGCAGUGCAUUAAAUAGUUUUAAGAACAUGCAGUCGGACGUGAGACAGGACAUUAUGUUGGAAAUAGCCCAAACUGUUUACAGAAUUAAAAGAGUAGGAGUAAUAGUAAAAUUCAUAUGGAUUCCAGCUCAUAUAGGGGUAGACGGAAAUGAGUUGGCAGACAAAUAUGCAAAAAAUGCAACCAAUAAAACAGAGAUAGAUAUGGUAAUAAAUUAUAGUAAGGCGGAGGUUAAAAGUAUAAUCAAAGAAGAAAUGAGGAAGAAGUGGCAGGAAAAGUGGAAUAUGGAAACAAAAGCGAGAAUGUACUACAAUAUCCAGAAGAAGAGUAGUGAGUGAAGGCUAUUAGGAUCCACACUCCAUUUCAGAAGGUGGCGGUAAUGCACACUUAAAAGUUGUUUGCCAACCGCCAAUUUAAAGAAGAAGAAGAAGAAGAAGACAGAAAAACAUUAAUGCGGUGUGAGUUGAAGAGUGAGCCUCUUGGUGUAUCGUCUGUGCAAACAGGAGAAUUUCGGCUUGGUGUCUGCGUGUAUGGUAACCAGUAAAUGGUGCCAGUAGUCACGAGUCUACAGACACUUGUUCGCAAAAUAGCGAGUAGUGAUUUUACAUGGGUUUGAAGUAACGAGUAACAUCGAGGAGAGUGUCCAGCAAUUAAACAUUCAUGCCGUUUAACUUUGUUAAAGGGUAUAUAGCUCUUACUUAUUUGGGCUGGUGUCAAAAGAAAAAAAUGUAUUUUUUUUAUUUAUUUUUAUUUUAAUCCUUUCUUAGACUUAAUGUUUUUAAAAUGUUACAAUGUGACUUAUAAAAUUCGUUUGUGAUUUAUAGGAGGAUUGCCUUCGUCGGUCACUAGCUACUGUUUUUCCUGGGUUUAAUCUUGUUUCAUUUUGUAUUUCUUCAUAUGUGUGUCUUGGGGAUCCGCUACCACUGUUCUUUGACCUGGACCCAGUUAAUUUAGAUGUUGUUGUGUUUUUUGUGUUUGUUUGGCAAUUGUCGUCAUUCAACCUUUGGCCCAUGGGCAUUGUGCAAUAUUUCCUUUAGGGACCGUGUCUAUCUUGCAAUGUUUACUGGUGUGAAGUGUGAAAUGCUGUGUUAAUGUACGCAUGGCCAAUUUAGUUUGAAGUGUUUCUUGCAGUGUUGGAGUGUAUGUGAACAGUACCUAUAUAUCUGACUUGAUUCACUGUAGUCUAGGCAUUGUUAGAUUUUUAUCUCGUAACUCAUUUAUUAUGAGACCUUUUAUUCACUGUGAUUAAUCUAUUGUAGAAUCGUUCACUGUUACCUAUGGGGAAACAUCUGUCUGCUCUGAUUGCCAAUCAGUGUAUUGUCUAGUGUUUAAUAAAAUUGAGUACAUCAGUCCCAUUUUCAUCCCUUGAUUGGAGAUAACUGUCUAAAUCGCUUGAAGGGGAGUGCUGUUUGGGGUUUUCUACUUUAGAUUUACAAAUUGUGAGGGGUCACAUUGACUUUAA